ACGCUGGCGGCGUGCCUAAUACAUGCAAGUCGAACGAGUUCUCGUUGAUGAUCGGUGCUUGCACCGAGAUUCAACAUGGAACGAGUGGCGGACGGGUGAGUAACACGUGGGUAACCUGCCCUUAAGUGGGGGAUAACAUUUGGAAACAGAUGCUAAUACCGCAUAGAUCCAAGAACCGCAUGGUUCUUGGCUGAAAGAUGGCGUAAGCUAUCGCUUUUGGAUGGACCCGCGGCGUAUUAGCUAGUUGGUGAGGUAAUGGCUCACCAAGGCGAUGAUACGUAGCCGAACUGAGAGGUUGAUCGGCCACAUUGGGACUGAGACACGGCCCAAACUCCUACGGGAGGCAGCAGUAGGGAAUCUUCCACAAUGGACGCAAGUCUGAUGGAGCAACGCCGCGUGAGUGAAGAAGGCUUUCGGGUCGUAAAACUCUGUUGUUGGAGAAGAAUGGUCGGCAGAGUAACUGUUGUCGGCGUGACGGUAUCCAACCAGAAAGCCACGGCUAACUACGUGCCAGCAGCCGCGGUAAUACGUAGGUGGCAAGCGUUAUCCGGAUUUAUUGGGCGUAAAGCGAGCGCAGGCGGUUUUUUAAGUCUGAUGUGAAAGCCCUCGGCUUAACCGAGGAAGCGCAUCGGAAACUGGGAAACUUGAGUGCAGAAGAGGACAGUGGAACUCCAUGUGUAGCGGUGAAAUGCGUAGAUAUAUGGAAGAACACCAGUGGCGAAGGCGGCUGUCUGGUCUGUAACUGACGCUGAGGCUCGAAAGCAUGGGUAGCGAACAGGAUUAGAUACCCUGGUAGUCCAUGCCGUAAACGAUGAAUGCUAGGUGUUGGAGGGUUUCCGCCCUUCAGUGCCGCAGCUAACGCAUUAAGCAUUCCGCCUGGGGAGUACGACCGCAAGGUUGAAACUCAAAGGAAUUGACGGGGGCCCGCACAAGCGGUGGAGCAUGUGGUUUAAUUCGAAGCAACGCGAAGAACCUUACCAGGUCUUGACAUCUUUUGAUCACCUGAGAGAUCAGGUUUCCCCUUCGGGGGCAAAAUGACAGGUGGUGCAUGGUUGUCGUCAGCUCGUGUCGUGAGAUGUUGGGUUAAGUCCCGCAACGAGCGCAACCCUUAUGACUAGUUGCCAGCAUUUAGUUGGGCACUCUAGUAAGACUGCCGGUGACAAACCGGAGGAAGGUGGGGAUGACGUCAAAUCAUCAUGCCCCUUAUGACCUGGGCUACACACGUGCUACAAUGGAUGGUACAACGAGUUGCGAGACCGCGAGGUCAAGCUAAUCUCUUAAAGCCAUUCUCAGUUCGGACUGUAGGCUGCAACUCGCCUACACGAAGUCGGAAUCGCUAGUAAUCGCGGAUCAGCACGCCGCGGUGAAUACGUUCCCGGGCCUUGUACACACCGCCCGUCACACCAUGAGAGUUUGUAACACCCGAAGCCGGUGGCGUAACCCUUUUAGGGAGCGAGCCGUCUAAGGUGGGACAAAUGAUUUAGGGUGA
rnacentral:rRNA from 2 species